rnacentral:lncRNA from 1 species
CGCAUGCGCAGUCCGCGCCAGCCCAGUCUUUGGGCCUGCCUGGGGUGGCGACCGCCGCGACCCGUGUUCUCUGCGCCGAUUGGGCCUGUGGAGGCCCCACGGCCAGAGCAGACCCGAGCCUGUGUCACGCGGCAGCCCCUGGCCCUCCCGAGACCAUGAGGUGGGUACCACUGCUUGCUCUGAGGAGCUUUGGAGGUGGCCUCCAUCAGCAAGCCCCUCACCCCCCGUGGAGACCCCAUGCGAUCUGAUCCCCUUGCUGAGUAGUGCUCAUUCAUCCUGCAGCCGUGAACCGACACACUGCCCUGGAGGGUUGUGAAGAGGUUUCCACGAGUGAACACACGUGAGACGCCCAGCAAGAGGUAGCUGAUACUUUCAUUAGGCUGCCUUCCUUUGCUCGCCUUACCUGUGACGUUGCCCUCCUCCUCCUUCUUCUCUGGGACGUGUCCUGACCUCCCAGCAUCCCACUGCCCUGGCAGGGCCCUGCUGGAAGCUAAGCCUGGCUCCAUCUGGGCUCUGGCCCUGCGCCUUUUCCCUUUGCUGAUUUUGCUUUGUAUCCUUUUUCUGUAGUAAAUCACAGCCAUGCAUGUGACUGCCUGCUGAGUCCUAUCAAAUCACCAAACCUGGGUGCGGUCUUGUGGGCCCCAGUACAGCUGCAGCCCCCAGCGCUGAAAUGCCUCCUUCAAAAGCCCAGU